rnacentral:rRNA from 1 species
CGUAGGGUGGCGAGCGUUAAUCGGAAUUACUGGCGUAAAGCGUGCGCGAGGCGGUGAUGUAAGACAGAUGUGAAAUCCCCGGGCUCAACCUGGGAACUGCGUUUGUGACUGCAUCACUCGAGUACGGCAGAGGGAGGUGGAAUUCCGCGUGUAGCAGUGAAAUGCGUAGAUAUGCGGAGGAACACCGAUGGCGAAGGCAGCCUCCUGGGCCAGUACUGACGCUCAUGCACGAAAGCGUGGGGAGCAAACAGGAUUAGAUACCCUGGUAGUCCACGCCCUAAACGAUGUCAACUAGUUGUUCGGUGAGGAGACUCAUUGAGUAACGCAGCUAACGCGUGAAGUUGACCGCCUGGGGAGUACGGCCGCAAGGUUA